UGGGGAAUAUUGCACAAUGGACGGAAGUUUGAUGCAGCGACGCCGCGUGGAGGGUGUAGGCCUUCGGGUUGUGAACUCCUUUUUCUCGCGAAAAAGGCACAGUUUUGGCUGUGUUGAUGGUAGUGGGGGAAGAAGCGCCGGCUAACUACGUGCCAGCAGCCGCGGUAAUACGUAGGGCGCGAGCGUUGUCCGGAUUUAUUGGGCGUAAAGAGCUCGUAGGUGGUUCGUCGCGUCUGUCGUGAAAGCCAGCAGCUUAACUGUUGGUCUGCGGUGGGUACGGGCGGGCUUGAGUGUGGUAGGGGUGACUGGAAUUCCUGGUGUAGCGGUGGAAUGCGCAGAUAUCAGGAGGAACACCGAUGGCGAAGGCAGGUCACUGGGCCGUUACUGACACUGAGGAGCGAAAGCGUGGGGAGCGAACAGG
rnacentral:rRNA from 1 species